UACGGAGGAUCCGAGCGUUAUCCGGAUUUAUUGGGUUUAAAGGGUGCGUAGGCGGCCUAUUAAGUCAGGGGUGAAAGACGGUAGCUUAACUAUCGCAGUGCCUUUGAUACUGAUUUGCUCGAGGGAUAUAGGGGUCUGUGGAACUUCUGGUGGAGCGGUGAAAUGCGUUGAUAUCAGAAGGAACGCCGGUGGCGAAGGCGACUAUCUGGGCUGCAACUGACGCUGAGGCGCGAAGGCUAGGGUAGCAAACAGG
rnacentral:rRNA from 1 species